UUCAAUUAAGGUGUUUUGGAUAUUUUGGGAUUAUGUUUUUCUUCUUUUAUUUAAUGGUUCAUAAUUAUAUUGUCUAUAUUUUCCAAUUAAAGUUGAAUGGUGUUAUAUAGUUGUAGAAAUUGGUCAAAGGAAAAAAACAAUGGCUGAAACUCGAUGAUUUGAGAACUAAGAAGCUAACAGAAUAUGAGAAACAAAGAAAUAACCGAACCAAGAAGAACUGUGAGAUAAUGAACAAUCUUGGAGUGAAGAAUAUUACAAAUUCUUUGAUGACUAUCAUUCAGCCCAAAUGUGCAAAUGCAAAGGAAAAUGGAAUUAGGGUUGAGGUAGAUGAUGAUGAUGAGUAUAAACCGUCAGAGAGUGAGAACGACAGUGAUGAUGAGUCAUUGGAUUCCUUUUACCGCAAGGAAUAAGAGAUGCCACCGGGGUUUCGUUUACAGUCUCAUUCGGAGCCAUUAACUCCCAUCCCAGAGGAAAGGAUGGAUCCCCCAGGUCAAGAGGUUGGUACCCAACCCUUACCACCACAUAAUGUGCAACCUGAGCAUGAGGUGACUGCAUCUAGCAGUGUUGGAUCAGUUUGAUCUACAAGGCAAUCCGAGUGAUGUAGCAAGGACUUUAAACACACAGUUUGGUCGACAAUUGAGUAGCUUCACUUAUAGGUUGCACAAACAAUACAAGCAACUUAAGGAUGCAAGAGGGGAGGAGUACGCAAGAAUCCAUCCACCUGCAAGUGUUACUCUUAAUCAAUGGACAUCUCUAAUUGACAAGAAGUGGAAUAGUAAAGAAUUCAUGGUAUAAUGUUUUAUGUUAAUUGUCAAAAAUUAAUUUUCUUCUUACUAAUGUUAAGUUUUGUUGUUUUUAUUGGUGUUUCAAUCGUGUAGGAACAAUCACUAACUAAUGUGAAUAAUAGGAUGCAAAUGAAAACAAAACAUAGAUGUGGAUCAAAAUCAAUCCCGGUCAGGGUGCACAGCUCGGUGUGUUCUGCUAUUUUAUUUUAUCAGAUUACUAGGAUUUGUUAUUUAAAUAUUUGAAAUAACAUUCAAAAACAAAUGAAUCAGAUAAUUGCAAAUGGAGGAGUGCCUAAUUUGGCAGAAUUUUACAAGUCCAUCCACUAUAAUUCGAACACGCAUGAAUGGAUUUUGUCAGAGAGCCAAGUUAAUUAUGUAUG